CACAUCCUGCUCACAGGACAUGGCAAGAUGUUGGGAGCCAGAAUCAACCACGGAAGAAAGCUGAUUACUUGCUUGGUGGUUCCCUGAGUUUAACUUUUGAUGCUCAAGACCACCUGCAGAGGGUCACACCAAGAGAAAGGCACAGCUGAGAACUCUUGGUGUUCCUGUUGGUCCCUCCUGCUGAUUCGAACUGAGGCUGGAGCCUUGCUGUAACUUCUAGGUCAUAUCACUGCUGUUGCUAACUGGACUCUACCAAAAUGGAUUGCUGGUGCAUCUGUAAAGUGUUUGCAACUGUAUUGAGUUGCUGCUGCUGACCUGUGAACUGAAUACCAAUUUCUGGAAAACAGAGAUGGAAGUUUCUCCAAAGAACCUUUCUGAACAGGCCCACUUCCCCUUGUCCUUACUUUUACACUACCUCUAGUGGGAGGUGGGCUAAAAGGGAGGUUUAAGCAUUCAAGAACCAUCAUUUAAAAUAGGAUUUGCAAAAAGUAAAGUUACAAGUGAAUCAGAUGUACUGGCCACAGGUUCAGUAGAGGGUUUACGAAGGUGUGGCCAUAAGGAUUCCAUAGUGAUAAUUUGGGGGAAGUCAAUAUUUACUAAAAAUCUGAUUUCGAAGACCUGAUGCAUGUGUUAAUUUUAAAAGGGAAACAUUUUCUAUUAAUUCCUUCUCCUAUAAGAGAUGUGGAGAAAAAAAAUGGAGAAAUAAAGGAGAGGGUUGUCUUAUACAAAACAUAAUAAACAGUGAAGUAAAUGUAAUUAAUUUCUUAAUACACUGGCUUUAAGAAGCAAAGCCUUCUGACUUGAGAGUACUGGAAGAUGUGUUCCAUAGGUGUGUCUGGAAUGGAGGCACACCUAUAGUUUCUGAUGCGUCAUGUCUUUACUCAUAACCGCAAAAGGAAGAUAUGUAGAUACCCAGUAGUUAGUGGAAUGAGAUGUUAGAAGCAGCCAGUCUAGUGAUGCUUAAAGUAUUUGUAAGGAACCCAGCACUGGUGAAGAUUUCACAGUGAUGUGUGAGUAGACACUCAGAUGCUUACACCUCCAGUUAGAAUUCUAAGCACAUUCUCAAGCUGUAGCAAAAGGCCAUCUUGGUGGAUCCAUUUUGCUUUCUGUUUCUUUUUCCACAAGCAGAACAUAUCAUGAAUAUCCUUCCACAAAUACAGACUCCUUAGCUCCGUGAAUUAUUCUGUGCAUGAAAGCCUACCCUUGUUUUAAUCUGAAACAAGCCCUUUGUGCUUCCUGAAGCUAAAUUAUAACCACAAGCUCUGCUGUAAUUGGCUUCCUGGAAAGACCACCUAUAGACUCUCCAGGAGCCUGCCUUACAUCUGCAUUGUACACGCACCAAGAAUAACUACAUCUCUGUGCAAAUUACCUGACAUGGUCGGGGAAAUGAAUUCAUUCUGGAGCAGUGAAAGAAUCUAAAAUGUCUGAAUUAGCAUUUCCUCUGUUUUCCACAAGAACAUAUAAAGUGUAUAUUGAACUUUCUUCAUUAAAAUUCUGAGGGCAAUC
rnacentral:lncRNA from 1 species